CUGGCACACACAUGAACCUCAGCUCCUUUCCUGGGUUGUCACACACACACCCAUACAUAAAACACAACGUCACAAAGCCUGUCUUUGUGUGGCAGACAAAAAACUUUGUCUCUCUUUCAGCUAAGAGUAGCCAAGGAAUAUGAGCAGACCUCAUGUGAGCAACUUACUAGUCAUGGAGUACGUCCUCCACCUUCUUUUUACCUCCUUCCUAUUGGAUGAAAUGUGGACAUGAUGGUGAAGGCUGGAGCAGCCAUCUUGGACCAUAAAUGAAUGCAUAUUGUUCUGAGAAUCAGUGACUCCAUGUGACCACUCUGGAGAAGUCCCACAUUAGUCAGUGAUGUUUUCCUGAGAAGCCGUGCCUAAACUUGGCAGCAUACCAGCUUGUAUUGCUUUCCCUCCUUAUCUGCCGUUUUCCCUCUCCUUUGUCUUCUGUAGGAUUGUAUCCCUCUCUUCAACAAGCCAUAGCACGUACAUUUUGUUUCAUAUUCUCCUUCUAGGGACUCCAGACUAACAGAAUUGGCUUAAAUUUUUUUAAAAAAUGUUAUUUAUCAGUAACCAAAAUUCAAAUGUUUAUUAAAGCUGUAAAAAGUUCUAUUAAAGAUGUUAAAACUACGAUCAAUACAUUUUGUAAAUACUGUAUAAAUGAGUCAGUUCAUUGGCAAGUCAAUCAUGUGGAGAAUUGACUUGCUUCUGUAGAAGGGAAGACAAAGAGAAGUCCAGCAAUCUGAGUACUAUUUAGAAGAUACAUCCGAUAGGAAUUUGUUAUGAACUGAAUGUGAAGGUUAAGGGAUGGAUGAUAUUAAGGAUUACCCCUAGGUUUCUGUUUGGGGCACCUGAAUGAAUGGCAAGCCCAUUCGCUUCAUUAAAGCAGAGGGAGGAGGUUUGUGUGUGUGUUAGGGCUGAAGACUGUCAGGGAAGGCCGAAGACUGGAUUUGGGCUACAGACUGUCAGGGAAGAUGAUGAGUUCAUGGAAUCUGAAGGAUCUGAGAUAUUUUGUAGGCAUUUGCAUAAAUGAGUCUAAACUUCAUGUAGAUCUGAGUUGGAGUCAUUGAUUUUUGAGUGCUAUGAUGAACACUGCUAAUUGACUAACAACCUCUUCUCUCAUCUUCCUUGCUAACAGAACCCCACUUUUAUUCAGGCAGUGAUGUACUCAGUUUAUGAAUUAAAAUUGAUUAAGCCAAUCAUGGUAACCCCAUUUCUCUUUGUCAUUGAUUGGUUGAGGGUGUACGUAUAAUCCAUUUCUAAGACAAGGGAAAUCUAUUGGGGAACUUCUAAGAAAGAUUUUCCUCCCUGAUAAAACAG
rnacentral:lncRNA from 1 species